rnacentral:rRNA from 1 species
UACAGAGGGGGCAAGCGUUGUUCGGAAUUACUGGGCGUAAAGGGUUUGUAGGUGGCCAACUAAGUCAGACGUGAAAUCCCUCAGCUUAACUGGGGAACUGCGUCUGAGACUGGAUGGCUUGAGUGCAGGAGAGGAACGCGGAAUUCCAGGUGUAGCGGUGAAAUGCGUAGAUAUCUGGAGGAACACCGGUGGCGAAGGCGGCGUUCCUGGACAGUGACUGACGCUGAGACGCGAAAGCGUGGGGAGCAAACAGG